UACGGGGGGGGCAAGCGUUGUUCGGAAUUACUGGGCGUAAAGGGCUCGUAGGCGGCCAACUAAGUCGGAUGUGAAAUCCCCAGGCUUAACCUGGGAACUGCAUCCGAUACUGGAUGGCUUGAAUCCGGGAGAGGGAUGCAGAAUUCCAGGUGUAGCGGUGAAAUGCGUAGAUAUCUGGAGGAAUACCGGUGGCGAAGGCGGCAUCCUGGACCGGCAUUGACGCUGAUGAGCGAAAGCUGGGGGAGCGAACGGG
rnacentral:rRNA from 1 species